GUAAUAAAAAUUAUUGUUCGCGAAUAUUCAAUUUGGAAUGCGAUUUUGUUAAUAAAAAAAAUACUUAUAACUUAUGCAAAACCCAAGAGAGGCAUUUAUAUUUAUUUCUUUUGCGUUCAUUUUCAAAUUCGCCGUGCAUAUAUUUUUGUGCAUGGCGCUUGAGAGGGCAUCACGUGACUAAAAACGACCAACCAACGACCUCGCUUCGGCCAUCUUGGCAUCUUCAUCUUGGCCACCUUGCUUUUGCUUUACCGUGGGUGGAUCGUUGUUUGUGUUUGUAUUAUUUGUGCUUUUUAAGAAUAUUUUUUUAAUUCGGAUACUUUUAUAAUAGCUUUAAUAGUAUUAUUAACAUAGUGAAUAAAAUGGUGUCCUGUUUUUAACGCAGUUGGAGUAGCAGAAACAAAUGUAGAUAAAAAAAUCUGCAGGAAUAACGUUUCAAUUAUGACAGAAGCUCCAAACAAAUGACUGUGAAUGAAAAGCCCUAUUAAAAGCUUUCCAGAAGAUCCUGCGAAGAAGACAUGAAGUAUAGAUCAGAUUUGUUAAUAGAGGAGUAUGUUCAAAACACUUUUUAGAAAAAGAUAUUGACAGAACUUCACUUUCAUCUGUUCGAUUAAGAGACUGUGCUGUUCCAAUAGCUUAUGUCACACAGAAUCAGCUGAGAGAAGUGGUCUACAAAAAACCAGAAAGGAAACGGAAUAUGUGGCUACGAAAAGCAAAAGAAAGGUUUACAAAGCAAAUGUGACACAUUUUUUUAUAAUAUUUAGGAAUGUCAGUAAAUUACAUUAAAAAAUGUAUGUAAAGAUUUUUUGCAAUAAAAAUGUUUAUAUUUA